GGUUAAGCGACUAAGCGUACACGGUGGAUGCCCUGGCAGUCAGAGGCGAUGAAGGACGUGCUAAUCUGCGAAAAGCGUCGGUAAGGUGAUAUGAACCGUUAUAACCGGCGAUGUCCGAAUGGGGAAACCCAGUGUGAUUCGUCACACUAUCGUUAACUGAAUACAUAGGUUAACGAGGCGAACCGGGGGAACUGAAACAUCUAAGUACCCCGAGGAAAAGAAAUCAACCGAGAUUCCCCCAGUAGCGGCGAGCGAACGGGGAGCAGCCCAGAGUCUGAAUCAGCUUGUGUGUUAGUGGAACGGUCUGGAAAGUCCGACGGUACAGGGUGAUAGUCCCGUACACCAAAAUGCACAGGUUGUGAACUCGAAGAGUAGGGCGGGACACGUGGUAUCCUGUCUGAAUAUGGGGGGACCAUCCUCCAAGGCUAAAUACUCCUGACUGACCGAUAGUGAACCAGUACCGUGAGGGAAAGGCGAAAAGAACCCCGGCGAGGGGAGUGAAAAAGAACCUGAAACCGUGUACGUACAAGCAGUGGGAGCACCUUCGGGUGUGACUGCGUACCUUUUGUAUAAUGGGUCAGCGACUUAUAUUCUGUAGCAAGGUUAACCGUAUAGGGGAGCCGCAGGGAAACCGAGUCUUAACUGGGCGUUAAGUUGCAGGGUAUAGACCCGAAACCCGGUGAUCUAGCCAUGGGCAGGUUGAAGGUUGGGUAACACUAACUGGAGGACCGAACCGACUAAUGUUGAAAAAUUAGCGGAUGACUUGUGGCUGGGGGUGAAAGGCCAAUCAAACCGGGAGAUAGCUGGUUCUCCCCGAAAGCUAUUUAGGUAGCGCCUCGUGAACUCAUCUUCGGGGGUAGAGCACUGUUUCGGCUAGGGGGUCAUCCCGACUUACCAACCCGAUGCAAACUACGAAUACCGAAGAAUGUUAUCACGGGAGACACACGGCGGGUGCUAACGUCCGUCGUGAAGAGGGAAACAACCCAGACCGCCAGCUAAGGUCCCAAAGUCAUGGUUAAGUGGGAAACGAUGUGGGAAGGCACAGACAGCCAGGAUGUUGGCUUAGAAGCAGCCAUCAUUUAAAGAAAGCGUAAUAGCUCACUGGUCGAGUCGGCCUGCGCGGAAGAUGUAACGGGGCUAAACCAUGCACCGAAGCUGCGGCAGCGACACUAUGUGUUGUUGGGUAGGGGAGCGUUCUGUAAGCCUGCGAAGGUGUGCUGUGAGGCAUGCUGGAGGUAUCAGAAGUGCGAAUGCUGACAUAAGUAACGAUAAAGCGGGUGAAAAGCCCGCUCGCCGGAAGACCAAGGGUUCCUGUCCAACGUUAAUCGGGGCAGGGUGAGUCGACCCCUAAGGCGAGGCCGAAAGGCGUAGUCGAUGGGAAACAGGUUAAUAUUCCUGUACUUGGUGUUACUGCGAAGGGGGGACGGAGAAGGCUAUGUUAGCCGGGCGACGGUUGUCCCGGUUUAAGCAUGUAGGCUGGUUGUCCAGGCAAAUCCGGAUAAUCAAGGCUGAGGUGUGAUGACGAGGUACUACGGUGCUGAAGUAACAAAUGCCCUGCUUCCAGGAAAAGCCUCUAAGCAUCAGGUAACAUCAAAUCGUACCCCAAACCGACACAGGUGGUCAGGUAGAGAAUACCAAGGCGCUUGAGAGAACUCGGGUGAAGGAACUAGGCAAAAUGGUGCCGUAACUUCGGGAGAAGGCACGCUGGUGUGUAGGUGAAGUCCCUGCGGAUGGAGCUGAGACCAGUCGAAGAUACCAGCUGGCUGCAACUGUUUAUUAAAAACACAGCACUGUGCAAACACGAAAGUGGACGUAUACGGUGUGACGCCUGCCCGGUGCCGGAAGGUUAAUUGAUGGGGUUAUCCGUAAGGAGAAGCUCUUGAUCGAAGCCCCGGUAAACGGCGGCCGUAACUAUAACGGUCCUAAGGUAGCGAAAUUCCUUGUCGGGUAAGUUCCGACCUGCACGAAUGGCGUAAUGAUGGCCAGGCUGUCUCCACCCGAGACUCAGUGAAAUUGAACUCGCUGUGAAGAUGCAGUGUACCCGCGGCAAGACGGAAAGACCCCGUGAACCUUUACUAUAGCUUGACACUGAACAUUGAGCCUUGAUGUGUAGGAUAGGUGGGAGGCUUUGAAGCGUGGACGCCAGUCUGCGUGGAGCCAACCUUGAAAUACCACCCUUUAAUGUUUGAUGUUCUAACGUUGGCCCCUUACCGGGGUUGCGGACAGUGUCUGGUGGGUAGUUUGACUGGGGCGGUCUCCUCCCAAAGCGUAACGGAGGAGCACGAAGGUUAGCUAAUCCUGGUCGGACAUCAGGAGGUUAGUGCAAUGGCAUAAGCUAGCUUGACUGCGAGCGUGACGGCGCGAGCAGGUGCGAAAGCAGGUCAUAGUGAUCCGGUGGUUCUGAAUGGAAGGGCCAUCGCUCAACGGAUAAAAGGUACUCCGGGGAUAACAGGCUGAUACCGCCCAAGAGUUCAUAUCGACGGCGGUGUUUGGCACCUCGAUGUCGGCUCAUCACAUCCUGGGGCUGAAGUAGGUCCCAAGGGUAUGGCUGUUCGCCAUUUAAAGUGGUACGCGAGCUGGGUUUAGAACGUCGUGAGACAGUUCGGUCCCUAUCUGCCGUGGGCGCUGGAGAAUUGAGGGGGGCUGCUCCUAGUACGAGAGGACCGGAGUGGACGCAUCACUGGUGUUCGGGUUGUCAUGCCAAUGGCACUGCCCGGUAGCUAAAUGCGGAAGAGAUAAGUGCUGAAAGCAUCUAAGCACGAAACUUGCCCCGAGAUGAGUUCUCCCUGAGACUUUAAGUCUCCUGAAGGAACGUUAAAGACGAUGACGUUGAUAGGCCGGGUGUGUAAGCGCAGCGAUGCGUUGAGCUAACCGGUACUAAUGAACCGUGAGGCUUAACCUU
rnacentral:rRNA from 1 species